UUGUGUGCCACAAUUAAUGAUAAAAAAUUUGGCAUAAUCCAUGUCAUACCAAAAAAAAAAAAUUGUUCAUUCUUUCUCUCUCUCAGCUCGUCUUUCUCUCACCUUUGUUCUAUUUUCUCUCGGCGAAGUUGUUUCCUCUGCCAUUCUCUUCGACACCAUCGUCGUUAUUGAUGGAUUUCCCAAAAGGUCGAUCUCCUCCCACAUCCUUGCCAUCGCCUCCGAUUUCUCCGUGAUUAGGAAUCCCUAGCUUGUUCCUCUCGUUUUCUCCCUCUUCAUCUUCAAUGCAUGUAUAUUCAUCCAUGUUCUUUUUGUUCGAUUCACUCGUUCCAUCUUGUAAUUUUUGUUUGUUCCUUUUUUGGUGUGAUUCAAUUCUCAUGUUUCUCAUAUCAAUUUAAUUUGAAUUAAAUUUAAACAUUUUUGUGAAAAUUGUAAAUCUCAAUUUGGUUAAUUCAUAAUACUGAUAUGGAAUAAACUUAUUUUUUAGAACUAUAUAUGCAAUUUAGCUAAAAUAUUGAGAAUUGAUGUGAAAUAUAUAUAUUUUACUUCAGUGUCUAUCUUGUAGCUGAUGUGAAAACCCCAUUAUUAAAUUUUAAAGUGUGUCUAUUACAAUAGUGGAAGAGAAACCUGAUGUAGAAAACAAGAUUUCACAUCUGUCCAAACCUGAUGUAAAAGGAUGUGGACUUACCACAUCAUAUCACCUUACAUCAGUUGCCACCUGAUUUAAAAACUCAUUUCCAACUGAUGUAAAAACUCUGUUAUGCAGUAGUGAGUUAAUGGUGGGUGGAAUUUGAUGUCAGUGUUUGGUUGAGUUUGAUGGAUAAAGUCUACGUACGGAGAUUGGGAUUUUUGUGUAUGGCAACCUCAUCAUCACCCUCUUGUAGAGACAAACUUUCAUAGGUUAGCUGAAAAACUUCAUCAAAUUUAUUAUAUGAUGAACGGGAGGAAUGGAAAAAACACAAGGGCAAUUAUCGUACAUCAUGGAAAAGGCUCAUACUGUGUUGAAUUAUGAAACUGCAUUGCAGCAUGCGAAGGGAACGAGAAGAAAACACAUUAAUCAAGGAAAUCACAGUCGAAAAACAUAGCCACUGGUCGCAGCAGACGCCAACUCGGCAUCAACUUGUUCAUUGCAAACCUGCACUUCCAUAUUGCUUGUUUGACAUCCACCUAUCACUGAUGUAGUGGUUUCUCGUGUGUUGACUGACGAACAGAAACUUCUACACAAUAAAGCCUCUUUCAGGAUUCUGAAGCUCAUGUAAUGUAAUGAUAGAUGAAAAUCCCCAGGCCUCCUCAUUUGCAUUGAACUUGUGAUUAGAUUCUGGCAAAGGAUAAUGAAAAGACCAUUGUAUUGGUGAUGUUGAUCACAAAGAUAAGUGCCACCAUUAUAUUGCAA